AACGCGAAGAACCUUACCUGGGCUCGAAAUGUAGUGGAAUCCGGCAGAAACGUCGGCGUCUAGCAAUAGACCGCUAUAUAGGUGCUGCAUGGCUGUCGUCAGCUCGUGUCGUGAGAUGUUGGGUUAAGUCCCGCAACGAGCGCAACCCUUAUCUUCAGUUGCUACCAUUUAGUUGAGCACUCUGACGAAACCGCCUCGGAUAACGGGGAGGAAGGUGGGGAUGACGUCAAGUCAUCAUGCCCUUUAUGCCUUGGGCUACACACGUGUUACAAUGGCUAGGACAAUGUGAUGCAAGACCGCAAGGUGGAGCGAAUCACCAAACCUAGUCUCAGUUCGGAUCGCAGGCUGCAACUCGCCUGCGUGAAGUCGGAAUCGCUAGUAACUGCCGAUCAGCACGCGGCAGUGAAUACGUUCCCGGGCCUUGUACACACCGACAUA
rnacentral:rRNA from 1 species